AUGCAUGUCUAAGUAUAAGUAUUAUACAGCGAAACUGCGAAUGGCUCAUUAAAACAGUAAUAGUUUAUUUGACAAUCUCACUUAUAUGGAUACCCGUAGUAAUUCUAGAGCUAAUACAUGCUGUACUCCUAACUUUUUGGAAGGGAGGUAUUUAUUAGAUAAUAACCAAUAUUCCGUAGGUCUAUCGUGGUGAAUCAUAAUAACUGAUCGAAUCGCACAGCCUUUGGCUGCGAUAAGUCAUUCAAGUUUCUGCCCCAUCAGCUUUAGAUGGUAGUGUAUUGGACUACCAUGGCGUUCACGGGUAACGGAGGAUUAGGGUUCGAUUCCGGAGAGGGAGCCUGAGAAACGGCUACCACAUCCAAGGAAGGCAGCAGCCGCGUAAAUUACCCAAUCCUGACUCAGGGAGGUAGUGACAAGAAAUAACAAGCGGUGGCCUAGCCACCGAAUUGCAAUGAGCCGAAUUUACACCACUUAGUGAGGACCAAUUGGAGGGCAAGUCUGGUGCCAGCAGCCGCGGUAAUUCCAGCUCCAAUAGCGUAUAUUAAAGUUGUUGCAGUUAAAAAGCUCGUAGUUGGAUUUCUGGCGGGGACCCAAGUACCCCUGGUGGGUGUGCUCGGGCCCGGCCAUCCUUCUGUAAACUUUCGCGCGUCCUUCACCGGUCGGCAAAGGGAUCAGAUAAUUUACCUUGAGAAAAUUAGAGUGUUUCAGGCAGGCUUAGCCGGAAUACAUUAGCAUGGAAUAAUGGAAUAGGACUGAGGUCUCGUUGUUGGUUACGCGGACUACAGUAAUGAUUAAUAGGGACAGUUGGGGGCAUUAGUAUUUAUUAGCUAGAGGUGGAAUUCUCUAAUUUGAUAAAGACUAACUUAUGCGAAAGCAUUUGCCAAGGAUGUUUUCAUUAAUCAAGAACGAAAGUUAGGGGAUCAAAGACGAUCAGA
rnacentral:rRNA from 1 species